GACGAACGCUGGCGGCGUGCUUAACACAUGCAAGUCGAACGGAAAGGCCCUGCUUGCAGGGUCCUCGAGUGGCGAACGGGUGAGUAACACGUGGGUGAUCUGCCCUGCACUUCGGGAUAAGCCUGGGAAACUGGGUCUAAUACCGGAUAGGAGCCAUUUUUAGUGUGAUGGUUGGAAAGUUUUUUCGGUGUAGGAUGAGCUCGCGGCCUAUCAGCUUGUUGGUGGGGUAAUGGCCUACCAAGGCGGCGACGGGUAGCCGGCCCGAGAGGGUGGACGGCCACAUUGGGACUGAGAUACGGCCCAGACUCCUACGGGAGGCAGCAGGGGGGAAUAUUGCACAAUGGGCGCAAGCCUGAUGCAGCGACGCCGCGUGGGGGAUGACGGCCUUCGGGUUGUAAACUCCUUUCGCUAGGGACGAAGCUUUUUGUGACGGUACCUAGAUAAGAAGCACCGGCUAACUACGUG
rnacentral:rRNA from 1 species